rnacentral:rRNA from 1 species
GACGAACGCUGGCGGCGUGCCUAACACAUGCAAGUCGAACGGAGGUUAGUGCUUCGGUAUAACCUUAGUGGCGAACGGGUGAGUAACGCGUGAGGAACCUGCCUUUCAGUGGGGGACAACAGUUGGAAACGACUGCUAAUACCGCAUAAAGUUAUUUAAGGGCAUCCUUGAAUAACCAAAGAUUUAUUGCUGAAAGAUGGUCUCGCGUCUGAUUAGCUGGUUGGCGGGGUAACGGCCCACCAAGGCGACGAUCAGUAGCCGGUCUGAGAGGAUGAACGGCCACAUUGGGACUGAGAUACGGCCCAGACUCCUACGGGAGGCAGCAGUGGGGAAUAUUGGGCAAUGGGGGAAACCCUGACCCAGCAACGCCGCGUGAAGGAAGAAGGCCUUCGGGUUGUAAACUUCUUUUACCAGGGACGAAGAAAGUGACGGUACCUGGAGAAAAAGCAACGGCUAACUACGUG